rnacentral:tRNA from 1 species
GGUCCCGUAGCUCAGUUGGAUUAGAGCGUCAGCUUGCGGAGCUGAAGGUCGCAGGUUCGAGCCCUGCCGGGAUCACCA